rnacentral:siRNA from 1 species
UGCUCGGGUACAAGAUUUCA